UUAACUCUUGUAUGUAGUUGGAACAGCGCCCCUAGCGGAAAACGUAGGCAAGCGUUCCAACUCCAUACAAAUCUGAGUUA
rnacentral:pre_miRNA from 1 species